UCCGUAGGCGGUUCAAUAAGUCAGUGGUGAAAGCCCAUCGCUCAACGGUGGAACGGCCAUUGAUACUGUUAGACUUGAAUUAUUAGGAAGUAACUAGAAUAUGUAGUGUAGCGGUGAAAUGCUUAGAGAUUACAUGGAAUACCAAUUGCGAAGGCAGGUUACUACUAAUGGAUUGACGCUGAUGGACGAAAGCGUGGGUAGCGAACA
rnacentral:rRNA from 1 species